UUAAGCGACUAAGCGUACACGGUGGAUGCCCUGGCAGUCAGAGGCGAUGAAGGACGUGCUAAUCUGCGAUAAGCGUCGGUAAGGUGAUAUGAACCGUUAUAACCGGCGAUUUCCGAAUGGGGAAACCCAGUGUGUUUCGACACACUAUCAUUAACUGAAUCCAUAGGUUAAUGAGGCGAACCGGGGGAACUGAAACAUCUAAGUACCCCGAGGAAAAGAAAUCAACCGAGAUUCCCCCAGUAGCGGCGAGCGAACGGGGGGCAGCCCAGAGCCUGAAUCAGUGUGUGUGUUAGUGGAAGCGUCUGGAAAGGCGUGCGAUACAGGGUGACAGCCCCGUACACAAAAAUGCACAUGCUGUGAGCUCGAUGAGUAGGGCGGGACACGUGGUAUCCUGUCUGAAUAUGGGGGGACCAUCCUCCAAGGCUAAAUACUCCUGACUGACCGAUAGUGAACCAGUACCGUGAGGGAAAGGCGAAAAGAACCCCGGCGAGGGGAGUGAAAAAGAACCUGAAACCGUGUACGUACAAGCAGUGGGAGCACGCUUAGGCGUGUGACUGCGUACCUUUUGUAUAAUGGGUCAGCGACUUAUAUUCUGUAGCAAGGUUAACCGAAUAGGGGAGCCGAAGGGAAACCGAGUCUUAACUGGGCGUUAAGUUGCAGGGUAUAGACCCGAAACCCGGUGAUCUAGCCAUGGGCAGGUUGAAGGUUGGGUAACACUAACUGGAGGACCGAACCGACUAAUGUUGAAAAAUUAGCGGAUGACUUGUGGCUGGGGGUGAAAGGCCAAUCAAACCGGGAGAUAGCUGGUUCUCCCCGAAAGCUAUUUAGGUAGCGCCUCGUGAAUUCAUCUCCGGGGGUAGAGCACUGUUUCGGCAAGGGGGUCAUCCCGACUUACCAACCCGAUGCAAACUGCGAAUACCGGAGAAUGUUAUCACGGGAGACACACGGCGGGUGCUAACGUCCGUCGUGAAGAGGGAAACAACCCAGACCGCCAGCUAAGGUCCCAAAGUCAUGGUUAAGUGGGAAACGAUGUGGGAAGGCCCAGACAGCCAGGAUGUUGGCUUAGAAGCAGCCAUCAUUUAAAGAAAGCGUAAUAGCUCACUGGUCGAGUCGGCCUGCGCGGAAGAUGUAACGGGGCUAAACCAUGCACCGAAGCUGCGGCAGCGACGCUUAUGCGUUGUUGGGUAGGGGAGCGUUCUGUAAGCCUGCGAAGGUGUGCUGUGAGGCAUGCUGGAGGUAUCAGAAGUGCGAAUGCUGACAUAAGUAACGAUAAAGCGGGUGAAAAGCCCGCUCGCCGGAAGACCAAGGGUUCCUGUCCAACGUUAAUCGGGGCAGGGUGAGUCGACCCCUAAGGCGAGGCCGAAAGGCGUAGUCGAUGGGAAACAGGUUAAUAUUCCUGUACUUGGUGUUACUGCGAAGGGGGGACGGAGAAGGCUAUGUUGGCCGGGCGACGGUUGUCCCGGUUUAAGCGUGUAGGCUGGUUUUCCAGGCAAAUCCGGAAAAUCAAGGCUGAGGCGUGAUGACGAGGCACUACGGUGCUGAAGCAACAAAUGCCCUGCUUCCAGGAAAAGCCUCUAAGCAUCAGGUAACAUCAAAUCGUACCCCAAACCGACACAGGUGGUCAGGUAGAGAAUACCAAGGCGCUUGAGAGAACUCGGGUGAAGGAACUAGGCAAAAUGGUGCCGUAACUUCGGGAGAAGGCACGCUGAUAUGUAGGUGAGGUCCCUCGCGGAUGGAGCUGAAAUCAGUCGAAGAUACCAGCUGGCUGCAACUGUUUAUUAAAAACACAGCACUGUGCAAACACGAAAGUGGACGUAUACGGUGUGACGCCUGCCCGGUGCCGGAAGGUUAAUUGAUGGGGUUAGCGCAAGCGAAGCUCUUGAUCGAAGCCCCGGUAAACGGCGGCCGUAACUAUAACGGUCCUAAGGUAGCGAAAUUCCUUGUCGGGUAAGUUCCGACCUGCACGAAUGGCGUAAUGAUGGCCAGGCUGUCUCCACCCGAGACUCAGUGAAAUUGAACUCGCUGUGAAGAUGCAGUGUACCCGCGGCAAGACGGAAAGACCCCGUGAACCUUUACUAUAGCUUGACACUGAACAUUGAGCCUUGAUGUGUAGGAUAGGUGGGAGGCUUUGAAGUGUGGACGCCAGUCUGCAUGGAGCCGACCUUGAAAUACCACCCUUUAAUGUUUGAUGUUCUAACGUUGACCCGUAAUCCGGGUUGCGGACAGUGUCUGGUGGGUAGUUUGACUGGGGCGGUCUCCUCCUAAAGAGUAACGGAGGAGCACGAAGGUUGGCUAAUCCUGGUCGGACAUCAGGAGGUUAGUGCAAUGGCAUAAGCCAGCUUGACUGCGAGCGUGACGGCGCGAGCAGGUGCGAAAGCAGGUCAUAGUGAUCCGGUGGUUCUGAAUGGAAGGGCCAUCGCUCAACGGAUAAAAGGUACUCCGGGGAUAACAGGCUGAUACCGCCCAAGAGUUCAUAUCGACGGCGGUGUUUGGCACCUCGAUGUCGGCUCAUCACAUCCUGGGGCUGAAGUAGGUCCCAAGGGUAUGGCUGUUCGCCAUUUAAAGUGGUACGCGAGCUGGGUUUAGAACGUCGUGAGACAGUUCGGUCCCUAUCUGCCGUGGGCGCUGGAGAACUGAGGGGGGCUGCUCCUAGUACGAGAGGACCGGAGUGGACGCAUCACUGGUGUUCGGGUUGUCAUGCCAAUGGCACUGCCCGGUAGCUAAAUGCGGAAGAGAUAAGUGCUGAAAGCAUCUAAGCACGAAACUUGCCCCGAGAUGAGUUCUCCCUGACCCUUUAAGGGUCCUGAAGGAACGUUGAAGACGACGACGUUGAUAGGCCGGGUGUGUAAGCGCAGCGAUGCGUUGAGCUAACCGGUACUAAUGAACCGUGAGGCUUAACCUU
rnacentral:rRNA from 1 species